rnacentral:rRNA from 1 species
UACGAAGGGGGCUAGCGUUGUUCGGAAUUACUGGGCGUAAAGCGCACGUAGGCGGAUAUUUAAGUCAGGGGUGAAAUCCCGCAGCUCAACUGCGGAACUGCCUUUGAUACUGGGUAUCUUGAGUAUGGAAGAGGUUAGUGGAAUUGCGAGUGUAGAGGUGAAAUUCGUAGAUAUUCGCAGGAACACCAGUGGCGAAGGCGGCUAACUGGUCCAUAACUGACGCUGAGGUGCGAAAGCGUGGGGAGCAAACAGG